AAGAUUUUAAGUUAAAAAAACUAAUAGCCUUCAAAGCUUUAAAUAAAAUUUAAUUUUUUAAAUCUUA
rnacentral:tRNA from 1 species